rnacentral:misc_RNA from 1 species
AGAAAAGUAUGCUAUUGUACUGUCUGAACGCGCUGUGGGUUGCGAUGUCUCGGGACCGGGCGUCGAUAUAGACCGCCUGCGGC